AUGGCGUCCCCCUCCGACGCUCACUCCGCCACGGGCGGCAGCGGCGCCGCCGCGGCUGCACGAUCAGAUCUGGGUGACUUUCUGGAAAAGUUGGAUCUGAACGACGAUGACUUUGCGGAUGUGGAGAUCGAUGAGGAUGAUCCUGAGAUUCAAGAGAGCGUCCGCUGGCUUGCCCUGGCUAGGGUUCAUACUAACAGGAAUUUUAGCCCUUCAGCCUUCUACAAGGACAUGAGGGCGGCAUGGAACCCUGCUCAGGAAAUAAGAUUUAGGCCUGUUGGCCCUAAUCGAUUCGUCGUCCAAGCGUGCUGUUUGGGGGACUGGGACCGCAUGAUGAAGCAAGGUCCCUGGCUCUUUCGUAACAUGGCGGUGCUUCUAUGCCCGUACGAUGGCUUCAACAAGACGGAGGAGGUGAAAUUCUUCCACAUCCCCAUCUGGCUGCAGAUUCACAAGCUCCCAGACCCUUACUGCAAGCAAAACAUCGUGGAAAAGCUGCUAAAGGAUGCGGGAGAAAUCAUGGAGAUGCGGUUGAACGGGAACACCCGCGGUGACUAUGGUAGGGUUCGGGUGCGACAUGAUAUCCGCAAGCCCCUCACAAAGUACGUCAGCAUCGUCCGCGCUAAGGAGCGCCAGGUUUACCUGGUUAGAUAUGAGAAACUUGCUAGAUUUUGUAAGUUCUGUGGUCUGAUUGGUCAUGAUCACAAAGAGUGCGGUCUGGGUAUCCAUGAGGAGAAGGAUCUCAAGUUUGGUGAAUGGAUCUAUGCAGAUGCUCCCAAUAAACCCAGGCAAGAGGAGCGUACUACUAAACCUACUGGAUAUGCGCCAAUGAAGGCUGAUGACAAGGUGCCUGGUAGCUCGAAACCUCAGUAUGCUCCCUAUGACGCCGAAGUGUUGGACACAGCAACGAGCCCGAUCAAGAAAACUAGUGUCAGAGCGGAUGGGGUUUUAGCCCCAAAAAGGAGGCUGGACUUGGAGGAGGCAGGGAAGCCACUGGGUGACGGCUCUGGAGUCCCAAAAACAAUGUUGGCCAUCACUGAUGGUAAGGAAAUUGCUCCGGAGGGGGCUGGCUCUCCUACAUGA
rnacentral:rRNA from 1 species